rnacentral:rRNA from 1 species
AGAGCGAACGCUGGCGGCAGGCCUAACACAUACAAGUCGAACGGACUCUUCGGAGUUAGUGGCGGACGGGUGAGUAACACGUGGGAACGUGCCUUUAGGUUCGGAAUAGCUCCUGGAAACGGGUGGUAAUACCGAAUGUGCCCUUCGGGGGGAAAGAUUUAUCGCCUUUAGAGCGGCCCGCGUCUGAUUAGCUUGUUGGUGAGGUAAUGGCUCACCAAGGCUACGAUCAGUAGCUGGUCUGAGAGGAUGACCAGCCACAUUGGGACUGAGACACGGCCCAAACUCCUACGGGAGCAGCAGUGGGAUCUGCGCAAUGGGACG